AACGAACGCUGGCGGCAGGCUUAACACAUGCAAGUCGAACGCGAAAUCACCUUCGGGUGGUGGAGAGUGGCAGACGGGUGAGUAACGCGUGGGAACCUACCUAGUGGUACGGAAUAACUCAGGGAAACUUGGGCUAAUACCGUAUGUGCCCUAAAGGGGAAAGAUUCAUCGCCACUAGAUGGGCCCGCGUCGGAUUAGCUUGUUGGUGAGGUAACGGCUCACCAAGGCGACAAUCCGUAGCUGGUCUGAGAGGAUGAUCAGCCACACUGGGACUGAGACACGGCCCAGACUCCUACGGGAGGCAGCAGUGGGGAAUAUUGGAUAAUGGGCGCAAGCCUGAUCCAGCCAUGCCGCGUGAGUGAUGAAGGCCCUAGGGUUGUAAAGCUCUUUCGGCGGGGACGAUAAUGACGGUACCCGCAGAAGAAGCCCCGGCUAACUUCGUGCCAGCCGCCGCCGUAA
rnacentral:rRNA from 1 species